UACGAAGGGGGGCUAGCGUUGUUCGGAAUCACUGGGCGUAAAGGCGCGUAGGCGGCUUUAUAAGUCGGGGGUGAAAGCCUGUGGCUCAACCACAGAAUUGCCUUCGAUACUGUAGAGCUUGAGACCGGAAGAGGUAAGUGGAACUGCGAGUGUAGAGGUGAAAUUCGUAGAUAUUCGCAAGAACACCAGUGGCGAAGGCGGCUUACUGGUCCGGUUCUGACGCUGAGGCGCGAAAGCGUGGGGGAGCAAACAGG
rnacentral:rRNA from 1 species